UUUCGCAAUGCCCGAAAGGGUGACGAAGCGACGCCGCGUGUGGGAAGAAGGCCUUCGGGUUGUAAACCACUGUCGGGAGUUAAGAAAUGCAGGAAUGUUAAUAGCGUUCUUGCUUGACUAAGGCUCCGGAGGAAGCCACGGCUAACUCUGUGCCAGCAGCCGCGGUAAUACAGAGGCGGCAAGCGUUGUUCGGAAUUAUUGGGCGUAAAGAGCACGUAGGCGGCUUUGUAAGUCGGUUGUGAAAGCCUUCCGCUCAACGGGAGAACGGCAGCUGAUACUGCAUAGCUUGAGUGCGGGAGGGGAGAGUGGAACUUCUGGUGGAGCGGUGAAAUGCGUAGAUAUCAGAAGGAACGCCGGCGGCGAAAGCGGCUCUCUGGCCCGUAACUGACGCUGAGUGUGCGAAAGCUAGGGGAGCAAACGGGAUUAGAUACCCCGGUAGUCCUAGCCGUAAACGAUGGGCACUAAGUAGAGGGGUUUU
rnacentral:rRNA from 1 species